rnacentral:tRNA from 4 species
GGAGAGAUACCGAAGUGGUCAUAACGGGACCGACUCGAAAUCGGUUUGAGGGCCUAACAGCUCUCACGGGGGUUCGAAUCCCCCUCUCUCCGCCA